rnacentral:rRNA from 1 species
GACGAACGCUGGCGGCGUGCCUAAUACAUGCAAGUCGAGCGAAGUUUUUCUGGUUUUUGCACUAGAAAGACUUAGCGGCGAGCGGGUGAGUAACACGUAAAGUACCUGCCUCAUAGACUGGGACAACUAUUGGAAACGAUAGCUAAUACCGGAUAACAGUAUUUCUCGCAUGAGAGAUAUUUAAUUGUUGGUUAUGCUAACACUAUGAGAUGGCUUUGCGGUGCAUUAGCUAGUUGGUGGGGUAAAGGCCCACCAAGGCGACGAUGCAUAGCCGACCUGAGAGGGUGAUCGGCCACCCGGGGACUGAGACACGGCCCAGACUCCUGCGGGAGGCCGCAGUAGGGAAUCUUACGCAAUGGGGGAAAGCCUGACGGAGCAACGGCGAGUGAGUGAAGAAGGAGUUCGGUUCGUAAAGCUCUGUUGUUAGGGAAGAAUGGAUAUGUAGUAACUAUACAUGUAAGAGACGGUACCUAACCAGAAAGCCACGGCUAACUACGUG